CGAAUACCAAGGCGAUCGAGUGAAUCGUGGUUAAGGAAUUCGGCAAAAUGCCCCCGUAACUUCGGGAGAAGGGGGGCCCAGACCUUGAAGGAGUUUACCUCCUAGGGGAAAGGGCCGCAGAGACCAGGGAGAAGCGACUGUUUACUAAAAACACAGUUCCGUGCGAAGUCGCAAGACGAUGUAUACGGACUGACGCCUGCCCGGUGCUGGAAGGUUAAGAGGACCGGUUAGACCUUCGGGUCGAAGCUGAGAAUUUAAGCCCCAGUAAACGGCGGUGGUAACUAUAACCAUCCUAAGGUAGCGAAAUUCCUUGUCGGGUAAGUUCCGACCUGCACGAAUGGCGUAACGACUUCUCCACUGUCUCAACCGCGAACUCGGCGAAAUUGCACUACGAGUAAAGAUGCUCGUUACGCGCAGCAGGACGGAAAGACCCCGGGACCUUUACUAUAGCUUGGUAUUGGUGUUCGGUACGGCUUGUGUAGGAUAGGUGGGAGACUGUGAAGCAUGCACGCCAGUGUGUGUGGAGUCAACGUUGAAAUACCACUCUGGUCGUUCUGGAUAUCUAACCUCGGUCCGUGAUCCGGAUCAGGGACAGUGCCUGGUGGGUAGUUUAACUGGGGCGGUUGCCUCCUAAAAGGUAACGGAGGCGCUCAAAGGUUCCCUCAGCCUGGUUGGCAAUCAGGUUUCGAGUGUAAGUGCACAAGGGAGCUUGACUGCGAGAGAGACAUCUCGAGCAGGGACGAAAGUCGGAACUAGUGACCCGGCGGUGGCUUGUGGAAGCGCCGUCGCUCAACGGAUAAAAGGUACCCCGGGGAUAACAGGCUGAUCUUGCCCAAGAGUCCAUAUCGACGGCAUGGUUUGGCACCUCGAUGUCGGCUCGUCGCAUCCUGGGGGUGGAGUUGCUCCCAAGGGUUGGGCUGUUCGCCCAUUAAAGCGGUACGCGAGCUGGGUUUAGAACGUCGUGAGACAGUUCGGUCCCUAUCCGCUGUGCGCGUAGGAAACUUGAGAAGGGCUGACCCUAGUACGAGAGGACCGGGUUGGACGAACCUCUGGUGUGUCAGUUGUCCUGCCAAGGGCACGGCUGAUUAGCUACGUUCGGAAGUGAUAACCGCUGAAAGCAUCUAAGCGGGAAGCACGCUUCAAGAUGAGGUUUCCAUGGGGUUUACCCCGAGAGGCUCCCGGCUAGACUACCGGGUUGAUAGGCCAGACGUGGAAGUGCAGCAAUGCAUGUAGCUGACUGGUACUAAUAAGCCGACAACUUGA
rnacentral:rRNA from 1 species